UACGAAGGGGGCGAGCGUUGUUCGGAAUUACUGGGCGUAAAGGGCGCGCAGGCGGCUCUUAAAGUCAGAUGUGAAAGCCCCGGGCUUAACCUGGGAACUGUAUUUGAUACUCUGGAGCUUGAGUACGGGAGAGGAUAGUGGAAUUCCCAGUGUAGAGGUGAAAUUCGUAGAUAUUGGGAAGAACACCGGUGGCGAAGGCGGCUAUCUGGACCGUAACUGACGCUGAGGCGCGAAAGCGUGGGGAGCAAACAGG
rnacentral:rRNA from 1 species